rnacentral:lncRNA from 1 species
GAAAGAUUAAGUAACAAGAUGUAUAAGUAUAGUUUAAUGAGCUUGCAAUGAUUUACAGCCUAAGAAACAAAGAAGUUCUUGUGGAAGAUUUUGAACUUGAGCAGAAUUGUGAGGAAAAGAUGAAUCACAGAGAGUGAUGACCAUGAUACUGGAAUUUUGGAAGAUGAAAAGGAGAAAGCCUCUGGUGCUGCACAGAGAAUCCCUGCAGGGCUCUUCGACCUCCUGAGUGCUCAGUGGGAAGGAGCUACCAACA